UACGUAGGGUGCAAGCGUUGUCCGGAAUUAUUGGGCGUAAAGAGCGUGUAGGCGGCUUGAUUAGUCUGCUGUGAAAGUCCAGGGCUCAACCCUGGAAUGCCGGUGGAUACUGUCAAGCUAGAGUCCGGAAGGGGCGAGUGGAAUUCCUGGUGUAGCGGUGAAAUGCGCAGAUAUCAGAAGGAACACCAAUGGCGAAGGCAGCUCGCUGGGACGUGACUGACGCUGAGACGCGAAAGCGUGGGGAGCAAACAGG
rnacentral:rRNA from 1 species